rnacentral:rRNA from 1 species
UGGGGAAUUUUGGACAAUGGGCGAAAGCCUGAUCCAGCAAUGCCGCGUGUGUGAAGAAGGCCUUCGGGUUGUAAAGCACUUUUGUCGCAAGGAAAUAUCCUUGGCUCUAAUACAGUCGGGGGAUGACGGUACCGGAAGAAUAAGCACCGGCUAACUACGUGCCAGCAGCCGCGGUAAUACGUAGGGUGCAAGCGUUAAUCGGAAUUACUGGGCGUAAAGCGUGCGCAGGCGGUUUGCUAAGACCGAUGUGAAAUCCCCGGGCUCAACCUGGGAACUGCAUUGGUGACUGGCAGGCUAGAGUAUGGCAGAGGGGGGUAGAAUUCCACGUGUAGCAGUGAAAUGCGUAGAGAUGUGGAGGAAUACCGAUGGCGAAGGCAGCCCCCUGGGCCAAUACUGACGCUCAUGCACGAAAGCGUGGGGAGCAAACAGGAUUAGAUACCCUGGUAGUCCACGCCCUAAACGAUGUCAACUAGUUGUUGGGGAUUCAUUUCCUUAGUAACGUAGCUAACGCGUGAAGUUGACCGCCUGGGGAGUACGGUCGCAAGAUUAAAAGCUUAAAUGAA